ncrna:unclassified sequences S15-Flavobacteria ribosomal protein leader
UAUAUUUGCGCCGCUAAUAAUAGCAUACAUAAUAAUCAUUUAAAUAAUAUUGGAAUG